CGGCAACAGCUCAAAUUUGAAAUCUGGCCUCUUUGGGGUCCGAGUUGUAAUUUGUAGAGGAUGUUUCUGGCGACGCGCCUUCCGAGUUCCCUGGAACGGGACGCCAUAGAGGGUGAGAGCCCCGUACGGUUGGAUGCCUAGCCUCUGUGAAACUCCUUCGAC
rnacentral:rRNA from 1 species